GGAAACGAACUGUCUUCUUCCUUUCGCAACUCUCUUCUCUCAAGUGUCAUCCCCAUUAUCCAUUCAUGGCCCCUCAAUAUUAACUCUUGACUCCAUCCAAGGCAAUAUAACUCCAUGUGGUAGGUUUAUUUUGUGAUUAGAAACAGGCAUUUUUCCUAGUUUUGCUUUGAAACAUGCCGUUUCUCGGAAAAUUCUGAUCUGGGUCUUUGUUAUUUUUUUUUCUUUAUUUGUAUUCAUUGCUCCCUCUCUGCCUCUCUAUUUUUCUUUUAGGCCUUAGUAGUUUGUUUGCGUACAAUCUCUUUUGUAUGUUAUCUUGUUAUAGCUAUAGGAAUUUGGGGGUGUUGUUCUGGUUUCCUUUGUUUUUACAUCUUAUUUUGGUCUUGUGAUUGCCGCUAUUGGUUUGUUUUUGGAGUUGGUUCAAGAAACAGGCAGUUAAAGAUGUUCAGUUCAGGCACGAAUUUGAUCACAACGGUCAUUGGUUUUGGAAUGAGUGCCACUUUUAUUGUGUUUGUUUGCACAAGAAUAAUUUGUGGGAGGAUUAGAGGGGCCCUGUCAAGGGAAAUGUUUCGGACUGAGUCCAGGAUUGAUCUUGAACAGCCAGAGCAACAGAUUAGAGGCGUUGAACCUAUUGUAGUUGCUGCAAUACCCACCUUGAGGUUCAACAGUGAGGCGUUCAGCUCUACAGAAGAUGCACAAUGCUCCAUAUGUUUGGGUGAGUACCAAGAGAAAGAAGUUCUAAGAAUCAUGCCUAAAUGCGGCCACUACUUUCACCUUUCUUGCAUCGACGUAUGGCUAAGAAAGCAAUCCACAUGUCCAUUCUGCCGUUUACCAUUGCAGGACUCUUCUGAAGCAAAAUAUAUGAGACCAGCAACAUUCAGGAUAACUCAAUCUAUGGAUAGUCCUGAGACUUUAACUGAUCAUUCUCGACAGUGGUUUCUACCAGGCCCUGAACGUUCCAUAGGAAAUCAAAUAAACCAAGCUCAGCCUGAUUCUGCUUCUAGAAAUUCUGAAAUGAAUGCAGGACAAGCAGAAACUUGAAACUGAUUAAGCAAAGAGAAUGGUCUGCCUGGUCAAAGAGCAAAGAUAUGCAUUAGCUCCUCGACGGAAACGGAUUCUCAUAGGGUUGAGAAGGAUGAGCUGAAAACAACUGUUUCCAAGACCCAUGGCCAUUCUCUUCCUCACAACAAGACCCAAGACCAUUCUCGACCAUUGCAAACCUACCAGGCCCAAGUGGCUUCUGUGGCUGCGCUCUUCCUCUGAUGAUUGGGAAGGCAUUGGAUCGGCCUACCAGCAGCUUGCCUGCGGUAUUUCCUCCAACCUGUUUUACAAUCAGAAUAGCCUUUUUUUUUUGUUUUUAUUUUUGAAGAGAUUACAAUGGCCAUUUUAGAAACAUCUGAGAUUUAUGACUAGAUUCGUCAAAUUAGUG